UACGGAGGGUGCGAGCGUUGUCCGGAAUCAUUGGGCGUAAAGGGCGCGUAGGUGGCCUGCUAAGCGUGCGGUGAAAGUCGGGGGCUCAACCCCCGAUCGGCCGUGCGAACUGGGAGGCUUGAGCACUGUAGAGGCAGGCGGAAUUCCGGGUGUAGCGGUGGAAUGCGUAGAGAUCCGGAAGAACACCGAUGGCGAAGGCGGCCUGCUGGGCAGUGGCUGACACUGAGGCGCGACAGCGUGGGGAGCAAACAGG
rnacentral:rRNA from 1 species